rnacentral:lncRNA from 1 species
UUUUGAUAUAGCAACAGUGAUUAGUUCUACGAGAAGAUAGAAUGUAAGUUGUACAAAACUUUGUUCUCAUUAUUCCUAACAUCUGUAACUUGCCCUUAAUUUCUAAAAAAAAUCAAUUGCUCGCGUACCAACAUGCUUUUAUUUCAUGAGCAAAAUAGUUUGCCAUAUCAGAUAAUUGAAGCUUUUUUUUUCAAAGAUUACUCUCAGCUGUUAAAUAAUGCUGUACUUCUGAAAUGUUACCUGGAUAAUGAACAUCUGAUAGAGAGUUGGGAUACCUCUAGGAGUCAAACUUCUAGUGCCUUCUUGCUGUUUUCAAAGACAUACAAGGUGUUAAGCUUCGCAACUCAUUUUAUCUCCUGUCUCAUGUCCAGCAAAUGUUAUUGUGCUCAAAAUAUUUGAUUUUGUUGUCUUUGAUUUCCACUUGCAUUUACGUAGCAGCUUCCUUUUAUUUCCUUGAGAAGUCUUGAAUUGUAAUAGGAACUGGAAAUAUGGUUUCAGUAUUUUCCAUUCCUGGAGGUGUUCUUCUCCCAUUUUCUUUUUAUUUGGUGUGUGGGCCAGCUUACGCGCAUCUUGACUAAUUCCAUGGGAUACCUGCUACUUCCUAGCAGCAACAGGUACUAGGUAACUCUAUCCACAAGAUGAGCUCUGAGCUUGACUCUCUUAGUCUGUACAGGAACAAGGAAACAUUUCCGAUUCCCAGUAUUCAGCAUUUCUCUAGCAUUUUGGGCCGCCUCCUAUUUUCGGAACCUCAACUAUAGCCUUGUUUCGUUGGAUAUCUCGAUCGUUUUCACAUCUUCCCUUUGCUUCUCCAUGGUUAAUGAUUUUUUAGUGUUUUAUUAUGUUCUGUUUUGGUGGUCAUUUAGGGGCUUGGCAUACCAUGUUGUAGUUUAAUAGUUUUUGUAGUAGGUGCCUUUCUGAGAAAGCUUGGGCAGGAUUUUUGCCAGUAGCCAACGUGUUAUUUUAUCUGCUGUUUGAUCAAAAGUUAGUCAGCUUAUUUUGGAAAUUAUUUCAUGUCCUGAUCCCUAGUUUUUGGCAACGAAAAGUUCAACUUGGUUUCAUCUAUUUCCAUUUAUAUGUCAUAUGUAGCUCAAAGUCUCAGCAGCUUUUCGAUGAGGGUUGUUUGAGACGUGUAUGUAAUUUGUUUCCCUUUCUCCCGUUCUCUGUUUUAAGUCGAGCAUUGACAUAUUUAUGGUCUAUAAGUUUCCCCCAGGGGUGGCCUAGCGGUCGAUAGUUGAAGCAACAAGUCAACAACCUCGGAACCAACAUUUGAAUCCCAACUGAGGCAGCACUAGACGAGAUCUUACAUCUACCUAAGUCUUGGUAUGAUAUCCGGUACCUGUGUUGGUUGGAGAUAGUAGGUAUCUAGCGGAUUAAUCGAUACACACACAAGCUUGGCACAAACAC